rnacentral:rRNA from 1 species
GGCGGCGUGCCUAACACAUGCAAGUCGAACGAAGAGGCCCGCAAGGGCACUUCAGUGGCGGACGGUGAGUAACACGUAGGUGACCUGCCCCGAAGCAGGGGAUAACGGCUCGAAAGGGCCGCUAAUACCCAAAAGCAUCGCGAGUCGCAUCGCGAUGAGAGUUACGGCGUUUCGGGAGGGGCCUGCGGCCCAUCAGCUAGUUGGCAGGGUAAUGGCCUACCAAGGCGACGACGGGUAGGGGGCCUGAGAGGGUGACCCCCCACAUUGGCACUGACACACGGGCCAAACUCCUACGGGAGGCAGCAGUGAGGAAUAUUGCACAAUGAGCGAAAGCUAGACGCAGCAACGCCGCGUGGACGAUGAAGGCCUUCGGGUCGUAAAGUCCUUUUCAGGGGGACGAGAGAGGACGGUACCCCUGGAAUAAGUCACGGCUAACUACGUGCCAGCAGCCGCGGUAAAACGUAGGUCGAGCGUUAUCCGGAUUCACUGGGCGUAAAGCGCCUGCAGGCGGUCUUGUAAGUGGGACGUGAAAUCUCUUGGCUCAACUGAGAGGGGUCGUUCCAUACUGCAGGACUUGAGGGCAGAAGAGGGAAGCGGAAUUCCCGGUGUAGUGGUGAAAUGCGUAGAUAUCGGGAGGAACACCAGUGGCGAAGGCGGCUUCCUGGCCUGUUCCUGACGCUAAGAGGCGAAAGCUAGGGGAGCGAACGGGGUUAGAAACCCCGGUAGUCCUAGCCGUAAACGAUGGAUGCUAGGUGUAGGCGGUCCUAACCCCGUCUGUGCCGAAGCUAACGCGUCAAGCAUCCCGCCUGGGGACUACGGCCGCAAGGUUAAAACUCAAAGGAAUUGACGGGGGCCCGCACAAGCAGCGGAGCGUGUGGUUUAAUUCGAUUCUACACGAAGAACCUUACCCAGGUUUUACAUGCAGGUAGUAGUGAAGCGAAAGCAGAACGACCCUUCGGGGAGCCUGCACAGGUGCUGCAUGGCUGUCGUCAGCUCGUGCCGUGAGGUGUUGGGUUAAGUCCCCUAACGAGCGCAACCCCCGUCGUCAGUUAUAUGAGUCUGGCGAGACUGCCGGUCUAAAGCCGGAGGAAGGUGGGGAUGAUGUCAAGUCAGCAUGGCCUUUAUAUCUGGGGCUACACACACGCUACAAUGGCCGGUACAAUGGGUCGCCAACCCGCGAGGGGGAGCCAAUCCUAAAAAGCCGGUCUCAGUUCGGAUUGGAGGCUGCAACCCGCCUCCAUGAAGUCGGAGUUGCUAGUAAACGCAGGUCAGCCAUACUGCGUUGAAUACGUUCCCGGGCCUUGUACACACCGCCCGUCACGUCAUGGGAGCUGGUAACACCUGAAGCCGGUGGGCUAACCGCAAGGAAGCAGCCGUCGAGGGUGGGACUGGUGACUGGGACGAAGUCGUAACAAGGUA